ensembl:lncRNA
AACAGGUGGGGACAGUGGAGAACAGGUGGGGGCAGAAAAUAACAGGUGGGGACAGUGGAGAACAGGUGGGGACAGUGGAGAACAGGAGGGGACAUUGGGGAACAGGUGGGCACAGUGGAGAACAGGUGGGGGCAGAAAAUAACAGGUGGGGACAGUGGAGUACAGGUGGGGACAAUGGUGAACAGGUAGGGACAGUGGGGAACAGGUGGGGACAGUGGAGAACAGGUGGGGACAGUGGAAAACAGGUGGGGACAGUGGAGAACAGGUGGGGACAGUGGAGAACAGGUGGGGACAGUGGGGAACAGGUGGGGACAGUGGGGAACAGGUGGGGGCAGUGGGGAACAGGUGGGGACAGUGGGGAACAGGUGGGGAACAGGUGGGGAUAGUGUGGAACAGGUGGGGACAGUGGAGAACAGGUGGGGACAUUGGGGAACAGGUGGGCACAGUGGAGAACAGGUGGGGGCAGAAAAUAACAGGUGGGGACAGUGGAGUACAGGUGGGGACAAUGGUGAACAGGUAGGGACAGUGGGGAACAGGUGGGGACAGUGGAGAACAGGUGGGGACAGUGGAAAACAGGUGGGGACAGUGGAGAACAGGUGGGGACAGUGGAAAACAGGUGGGGACAGUGGAGAACAGGUGGGGACAGUGGAGAACAGGUGGGGACAGUGGAGAACAGAUGGGGCAGAAAAGAACAGGUGGGGAACAGGUGGGGAAAGUGGAGAACAGAUAGGGACAGUGGAGAACAGGUGGGGGCAGAAAAGAGCAGGUGGGGAACAGGUGGGGACAGUGGAGAAUGUGGUGGGGACAGUGGAGAACAGGUGGGGAACAGGUGGGGACAGUGGAGAACAGGUGGGGACAGUGGAGAACAGGUGGGGAACAGGUGGGGACAGUGGAGAACAGGUGGGGCAGAAAAGAACAGGUGGGGAACAGGUGGGGACAGUGGAGAACAGGUGGGGACAGUGGAGAACAGGUGGGGAACAGGUGGGGACAGUGAAGAACAGGUGGGGGCUAGUGGUUAGGAAGCAUGGGGGGACACGGAAACAGAGACAGAGUGUGUAGUGAGAGACAUAAAUAGAGACAGACAGACAAUGCUCUCUAA